UGGGGAAUAUUGGACAAUGGGGGCAACCCUGAUCCAGCCAUGCCGCGUGAGUGAUGAAGGCCUUCGGGUUGUAAAGCUCUUUUGGCGGGGACGAUGAUGACGGUACCCGCAGAAUAAGCCUCGGCUAACUUCGUGCCAGCAGCCGCGGUAAGACGAAGGGGGCUAGCGUUGUUCGGAAUUACUGGGCGUAAAGCGAGUGUAGGCGGUUGCCGUAGUCAGGUGUGAAAGCCUUGAGCUCAACUCAAGAAAUGCACUUGAUACUGGGUGACUAGAGGACCGGAGAGGAUAGUGGAAUUCCCAGUGUAGUGGUGAAAUACGUAGAGAUUGGGAAGAACACCAGUGGCGAAGGCGGCUAUCUGGACGGUUACUGACGCUAAGACUCGAAAGCGUGGGGAGCAAACAGGAUUAGAUACCCUGGUAGUCCACGCCGUAAACGAUGGGUGCUAGACGUUGGCGAGCUUGCUCGUCAGUGUCGCAGCUAACGCGUUAAGCACCCCGCCUGGGGAGUACGGCCGCAAGGUUGAAACUUAAAUGAAUUGACGGGGGUCAUAGCUG
rnacentral:rRNA from 1 species